rnacentral:rRNA from 1 species
GAGUUUGAUCCUGGCUCAGGACGAACGCUGGCGGUGCGCCUUAUGCAUGCAAGUUGAGCGAAGCUUUUUGGUAGUUUACUACUAGAAAUGACUGAGCGGCGAACGGGUGAGUAACGCGUGAGCAAUCUACCUUAGUUACUGGGAUAGCCCGAGGAAACUCGGAUUAAUACCGGAUAUUCUUAUUUUUUCACAUGAAGUUUUAAGGAAAGGUCAGCCGAACUAAGAUGAGCUCGCGUUCUAUCAGCUAGUUGGUGGGGUAAAAGCCUACCAAGGCUACGACGGAUAGCUGGUCUGAGAGGACGAUCAGCCACACUGGGACUGAGACACGGCCCAGACUCCUACGGGAGGCUGCAGCAGGGAAUAUUGUGCAAUGAGCGAAAGCUUGACACAGCGACACCGCGUGUGGGAUGACGGUUCUAGGAUUGUAAACCACUUUCAGGAGGGAAGAAAAUGACGGUACCUCCACAAGAAGACCCGGCCAACUAUGUGCCAGCAGCCGCGGUAAUACAUAGGGGUCAAGCGUUGUCCGGAUUUAUUGGGCGUAAAGAGCUCGUAGGCGGUUCAACAAGUCGGUCGUAAAAGUUUAGGGCUCAACCCUAAAAUGUCGAUCGAUACUGUUGUGACUAGGAUACGGUAGAGGUGAAUGGAAUUCCGAGUGUAGCGGUGAAAUGCGUAGAUAUUCGGAGGAACACCAAUUGCGAAGGCAGUUCACUGGACCGUGAUCGACGCUGAGGAGCGAAAGCUAGGGGAGCAAACAGGAUUAGAUACCCUGGUAGUCCUAGCUGUAAACGAUGGAUACUAGAUGUAGGAACUGGAUUGACGGUUUCUGUAUCGUAGCUAACGCGUUAAGUAUCCCGCCUGGGGAGUACGGUCGCAAGACUAAAACUCAAAGGAAUUGACGGGACCCCGCACAAGCGGCGGAGCAUGCGGCUUAAUUCGAUGAUACCCGUAGAACCUUACCUGGACUUGACAUAUAGGGAAAAACUGGAGAAAUCCAGUGUGCGUAAGCGCCCUAUACAGGUGGUGCAUGGCUGUCGUCAGCUUGUGUCGUGAGAUGUUGGGUUAAGUCCCGCAACGAGCGCAACCCCUGUCCUAUGUUGCCAGCAAGUAAUGUUGGGGACUCAUAGGAGACUGCCGGUGAUAAACCGGAGGAAGGUGGGGACGACGUCAAGUCAUCAUGCCCCUUAUGUCCAGGGCUGCACGCAUGCUACAAUGGCAAGUACAACGAGUCGCAAUACCGCGAGGUGGAGCAAAUCUCUUAAAGCUUGUCUCAGUUCGGAUAGGAGUCUGCAACUCGACUCCUUGAAGUUGGAGUCGCUAGUAAUCGCAAAUCAGCAAAGUUGCGGUGAAUACGUUCUCGGGGUUUGUACACACC